rnacentral:rRNA from 1 species
ACGGCAGCGGCAGGCUUACACAUGCAAGUCGAGGGGUAUGCUUCUUCGGGAGCAGAGACCGGCGCACGGGUGCGUAACGCGUAUGCAAUCUACCUUUUACAGAGGGAUAGCCCAGAGAAAUUUGGAUUAAUACCUCAUAGUAUAGUACAAUCGCAUGAUUGAACUAUUAAAGUCACAACGGUAAAAGAUGAGCAUGCGUCCCAUUAGCUAGUUGGUAAGGUAACGGCUUACCAAGGCUACGAUGGGUAGGGGUCCUGAGAGGGAGAUCCCCCACACUGGUACUGAGACACGGACCAGACUCAAACGGGAGGCAGCAGUGAGGAAUAUUGGACAAUGGGCGCAAGCCUGAUCCAGCCAUGCCGCGUGCAGGAUGACGGUCCUAUGGAUUGUAAACUGCUUUUAUACGAGAAGAAACACUCCGACGUGUCGGAGCUUGACGGUAUCGUAAGAAUAAGGAUCGGCUAACUCCGUGCCAGCAGCCGCGGUAAUACGGAGGAUCCAAGCGUUAUCCGGAAUCAUUGGGUUUAAAGGGUCCGUAGGCGGUUUAAUAAGUCAGUGGUGAAAGCCCAUCGCUCAACGGUGGAACGGCCAUUGAUACUGUUAGACUUGAAUUAUUAGGAAGUAACUAGAAUAUGUAGUGUAGCGGUGAAAUGCUUAGAGAUUACAUGGAAUACCAAUUGCGAAGGCAGGUUACUACUAAUUGAUUGACGCUGAUGGACGAAAGCGUGGGUAGCGAACAGGAUUAGAUACCCUGGUAGUCCACGCCGUAAACGAUGGAUACUAGCUGUUGGGAGCAAUUUCAGUGGCUAAGCGAAAGUGAUAAGUAUCCCACCUGGGGAGUACGUUCGCAAGAAUGAAACUCAAAGGAAUUGACGGGGGCCCGCACAAGCGGUGGAGCAUGUGGUUUAAUUCGAUGAUACGCGAGGAACCUUACCAAGGCUUAAAUGUAGAUUGACCGGUUUGGAAACAGACUUUUCGCAAGACAUUACAAGGUGCUGCAUGCUUGUCGUCAGCUCGUGCCGUGAAGUGUCAGGUAAUCUCCUAUAACCGAGCGCACCCCUGUUGUAGUUGCCAGCAAGUCAGUCGGA